rnacentral:rRNA from 1 species
AUUACUCCUACGGGAGGCAGCAGUGGGGAAUAUUGCACAAUGGAGGAAACUCUGAUGCAGCAACGCCGCGUGAGUGAUGAAGGUUUUCGGAUUGUAAACCUCUUUUGCCUGGGAAUAACCGCCCCGUGGAAACACGGGGAAUGAAUGUACCAGGCGAAUAAGCCACGGCUAACUUCGUGCCAGCAGCCGCGGUAAUAAU